rnacentral:rRNA from 1 species
CCUACGGGAGGCAGCAGUGGGGAAUAUUGGGCAAUGGGCGCAAGCCUGACCCAGCAACGCCGCGUGAAGGAAGAAGGCUUUCUGGUUGUAAACUUCUUUUCUCAGGGACGAAGCAAGUGACGGUACCUGCGGAAUAAGCCACGGCUAACUACGUGCCAGCAGCCGCGGUAAUACGUAGGUGGCAAUCGUUAUCCGGAUUGACUGGGUGUAAAGGGCGUGUAGGCGGGAAAGCAAGUCAGAUGUGAAAACCAUGGGCUCAACCUGUGGCCUGCAGUUGAAACUGGUUUUCUUGAGUACUGGAGAGGCAGACGGAAUGCCUGGUGUAGCGGUGAAAUGCGUAGAUAUUAGGAGGAACACCAGUGGCGAAGGCGGUCUGCUGGACAGAAACUGACGCUGAGGCGCGAAAGCGUGGGGAGCAAACAGGAUUAGAUACCCCAGUAGUC